rnacentral:SRP_RNA from 1 species
UGUCGGUCCCUUCGCAAUCGGAUAUUUGUGAAUUCCGUCAGGCCCGGAAGGGAGCAGCGGCAGCAGAUGUUUGGUGUGCCGGGGUGUGGCUGGCAGGG